rnacentral:lncRNA from 1 species
UCUUCAUGUCGCCGCUAGAGGGAGCCAGAGCUGCUGUCUGACGCUGCUCAUUUCUCAUAUCAAUGCGCCAUGUGGCCGCUAGAGGGAGCUGCUGUCUGUUGGGGCUGCUCGGUCAUCUUAUCAAGUUCUCGUCUGGGUGUGUCCAAGUGUCCCUCAGAGAAGCAGCAGUGGGGAGUUCAUCUCCUCCAAACCACCGUGAGCACUCAUGAAGGUGCCUGUGGUGGCGUUCACACCUCAGUCAUGUUUAUUUUUAAACAAUAGGCGUUAGGGUUGUACCAUCCGCCGUCACCAUGGCAACGCAUCGCGGCAGAAAGGAAACGGCCCGGAGCAAAGCGCAGCCAAAGCGGCAGCACAAACCGGCCAAGGGCUCCAAGAAGCGACCGCCGGCCAAGGCUCGGAGCAAAAGCAGCAAGCUGAUGCGGGCGAAGAAGCGGGGACUGACGAAAGAGAAAAUCUCUGAGGCUGAAGAAACCUGCAGGGGUCAGGCGGAGCGGACAGAAGGCGAGCAGCACCCCCCCCAAACCUGCAGGCAGACGUGACGCCUCCAAGAAGACGAGCGGCGUCCGCAGAAAGUAAAAAACCUGCAGAAAAAUCAGACUCAUUCCAUCCAAAUGAAACAGCUUGACAGCUUGAAA